GUCUUCGUGGUGUAGUGGUAAGCACGCUCGGUGCGUAUUCGAUAGGUCCGUGGUUUGAGUCCUGGCGAGGGCA
rfam:Stegodyphus mimosarum contig97625, whole genome shotgun sequence.